rnacentral:rRNA from 1 species
AUGUCUUCCUCCUCCGGCGCAUCUCACCCUAACCUCAGUGGGCAGGUGAUUGAGAAACUCUCCCGCACGAAUUACGUGUUAUGGUGCACACAGAUCACACCACAACUUCGUGGCGCCGGUGUCUUCCAAUACGUUGAUGGCACCUCGCUGGAGCCGACCAAGCUUCAAGCCGCCAAGGAUAAGGACGGCAAGGACACGUUUGUGCCCAACCCUCUCCACCCCAUCUGGGUCCGGGAGGACCAGCAGGUGCUUGGCUUCCUGCUGAGCAACCUCUCCAAAGAGGUGCUCGUCACGGUGACCGCGGUCACCACGGCGCACACGCUCUGGACGAUGCUGGCGGGCAUGUACUCGUCGCAGUCGCUGAGCCGCGUCAACAACAUCCGUACCUCGCUCAUCAACGCGCAGAAGGGCAACCAGUCCGCCGCCGCCUACUUCGCCACCAUGCGCGGUCUCGCGGAUGAGCUAGCGGCGGCAGGUAAGCCCGCGGCUGCAACUGUGCCAGCUUCUGCCGUGGGAUUUUCUGUGGCAGAAACAUCAGGCACAACAUCUCGCGUCGUACACGACUACUAA